AUUUCUAUUAAAUAUUACUUCCUUUUCCACAGUCAACUUGUGGUGGCUGGGGCAGAGCACUCUGCAAGACGCCUGUCUCCUCCUCCUGGAGCCAUUCAGACUGCGCUCACGGAGUGAGUCCGCCUCCCCCAAGCCCCGCCCCUGCAUGCAGUGGAUGUUUUUUCCCGGAGUUGCUCCCCAUGCUGCAUGUACCCAGGAUCCCACAGCACAGCUCUGUGUAUUGUUUGAAGGCCAAGUGCGCCAGGUUACCUGAGAUGAGCACACUGUAAACCCCAGAGGCAUUAACAUCCUGAAAGGGAGCUGCCUCUCAACAAUUGAAAACAUGGAGUAAAACAUGUACUGACUGAAUGAAAAAGUAGGCAGGGGUUGGAAAGAGAAGUAACAGAGGGUAGAAAUCAGGAGCUGUGGAGCGGUGCUGCCAGGUGAGCCCAGCGCUGUGCUUCCCGCGGCUGGCAGCGGGGUGGAAUCCAGCAGCACAGCGCAGCCUCCACGGGGCUGAAUUCUGGCAGCUAGCAACAGAGGGGCCAAGGAAGGAAAGAAGAAGCCCUCUGUGAUCCCAAGAAGACCACAGGAGGACUCUGAGUGCCAGGGGACUUGGAGCGACUCGAAAAGUGGCAGCACAGAGCAGCCUGGGCGCCUGGCCCUGCUGUGGGACAGACAGGCCUGCUGGCAGGUCCACCCCCCCUGAGCCCAGGUCACCCUGCUGCAGCCAGAGGCCGGAUGUGGGUCAAGCUGCACGGAGGGGCCCCUGUGGUCCAGCCUGUCACCUGCCCUGCUGUCCUGCAGAGGAGAGAGGGGGAAAGAGAUGGAGGCCCUGGGCCCUGAGCUCACUGUCCCCUCUGUCACCCAUGCUGCUCUAUGGAGGUGCUGAGGUCCUUUGGCCAGGGAUGCCUGCCCCAGCCAGACCAAAAUCCCCAGGACCUGUGCCGCAGAGAUGCUGCGCUGAGGAGCAGUGUGUGAGCACAGAGCUCCCGGAGCCUCACCUGGCCUCACCUGCCAGCAGGUCCCUGUGCCAGGUCCCUCUCUGUCUGUGAGCAGUGGUGGGCGGGAGCUACUUCUGUCCCCUGCCUGUGGCUGACUCUGUGUGUGGAGGGAGUCACCCUAAGCACAGGCCUCCCCUGAUGGCUCAGUCCUGUUUGGGUGUGAGAGUAUUGGUCCCUUGGGCCCUGCCCCUCUUCUGCCAGGCAGGAGGCUGGCUUUCUGCCCUGUGCUGCUUCACUGAAACCAAAAGGGACAUUUGGUUAAGGUUAAGGUAAGAGAUUUUUAUGUUUUUCUUUUCUUUAUUACUAUCUUUUUCAAAGGGAAAGUACUCAUGGACAUCUGACCGUUACACGAACCGCCCAGGGUGCUGCUCAGGCUGGGUAGUGGAACCCUCGUCCACCCCUCCCUGCGGCAGCCUCCAGGGCCAAGCCCUUACCUCUGCACAGCAGGCAGUUAUCGGGGUCCCUUAAAGAAACGGGGUGGAUGGUAGCACUCCUUGUACAGCAGUUUUACAUGACUUUAUAGUUUUCUGUGUCUAUAGGACUAUGUUUAGUUCUGUCCUGCUUUGUUCUGUUUCUCCCUCUAAUAUAGAAAGGAGAGAAAUACAUGUAAAGACUCAUGCAUGUGUACAAUCUAUAAACAUUUGAUGAGAACUGAUCUUAUGACACAUGAUAAAAUGAACAAAUACUUUGAAAGAAAAAAAGGGGCACUGCAGUACCCAGCGCUGAUUCCGGGGUGUCAUCAUGUGAAAUCCAGCAAUACUAUGAAUCUUUGUUCAGAAUGAUUUUAAUCUCUAUGAUUUGUUUGGUCUCAACAUAAAUGAAGAUAUGGAAAAAUGCGUACAUGUCUAAGUGUAUAGGAUUGACAGCCACAUGACUUAGGUUUUGUUGGAUAGUUGAACAAAACUGUUUGCAGUCUCCCUGGUUGAAUUCCCAUUUGUAUGUUCCACUUUUGUAUCUUGAAUAAUUAUUUGUGGGGAAUAAUAUGUAAACAUGAACUAGUGAUUUAUUACUGUUUAUUUUUUUCUUUGAAAGUAUGUACUAUUUCUGCCCGUUUUCUGUUUUGUUUUGUCUUUAUUUAAAUACAAUUAAAAAAAAAAAGAAACAGGG